rnacentral:lncRNA from 1 species
GGAAAGGGGAGCUCAGCAGCUACUUAUUACCACCCAGGUUUCAUGUGUUCCCUUCUGCAUGGACUUUUAAGAACUAGCUGGAGUCGUGAGCAUGGGUGAGAAACAAAGGAAGAAAACUGCCAUCAUAGAAUUUUAGGUUUCAGCCAGUCUGGGAUAAGGCUGAAUUUUUUGGGUAGCAGCACUGCAGAUGAUCAGAAAGUUCCUGUGCUCUGUCUACCUGCAUACUUUAAAGUUGAUCCUGGUCUUCAUCCUGUAGUAAAUGUCUAAUGUGAAAAUAUGCACAUUUCUAGGGAAUAUUUAGCAAAGGAUGUUAUUUUUCAUCCUAAUGGUUAAAAGCAAAUUUUCUGUUUAAAAGUAAGUCUUUCUUUGGUUAAGAUGGAGUAUGAUGACAUUUAAGUAACAUGUUUGUGAGUUGUCUAGUUGUUCAAAUGUAAAGAGAUGAAAAAAUUAAUCAGGAUAUUUAUGUCAAGGUCUAUUCCCCUAAAACUUUUAUUUGUGUUUUGUUCUGAUUCAAGUAUUGAGAGCAACGCUGGCUUUGGUGAUGCCACUUCCAAUUUUAGGCUUACUUGUAAAUGGCAUUAUCAUAAACCAUUAGAGUUGGGGUGUCAGAUAUCUACUUGGCUAUAUUUCAGAUCUGUGGGCCACUGGCAGAGACUCACUCAAGGAGACCAUGAAUUUCAGGUUCCUGGAUUCCAUCCUUGACCGAUGAACUGGGGAUGGGGCAGAAGCCCAGCAGUCUGCCUUUUGAAAGCUCCCAGGUGAUUCUGAUGCACAUUAGAAACACUGAUCUGUUCUAAAUCUCAUCCUAUAGUGGAGGAAACUAAAACAAAAGAGGCUAGUGAUUUACACAGGCUGACAGCUAACAGGCUCAUAUUUGGGCAGUCACUUGAUGUUGAGUUUAUGGCAAAAAAAAUCGACAUGUUUGUUUUUCAGAGUCUAUGGUGGGAUUUAAAAUGGUUUAUUCUUAAUCUCCAAGUCCCUAGGCUACAAAUGUGCCUAAAACUCCCAUUAUCAGGAGUUAAUCCUUUCCUGCUACUCUGAAUGUCUUUUUUUAAAAAAAGUGUAAUUAUUUGAUAAUAUUGGAAGAUCCUUAAAAAAUUCUCAAGAUCCUUUGCUACUAUUGUGCCAAAUUUUUUUUUUUAGAAUUCUUUUGGAAACAAGAAAGUAAAUAGUCACUGUUCUUAUUCAAAUUACUCCAGGAUCUAUGAAUAUUUCUCCCAGAAAUACAAUACAGUACUUAAGUCUUACAACAUGGAAGAAUACUAACAUCUAUACAUUUACUCCUUCAGAGUUCCUCUUUGUUAAGAGAAUACAGCAGUUUGUUGGUAUAUGAUUCAGUUGAAGAACAGAAUAUCGUGUGCUUACCAGCCUUUCAAUGACUGAACACCCCUAAAUGCUUAUCUCUUCCUCUAAGAGAAUAAAAGGAUCUAGAACCCUCUACCCCCCCCCCCCGCCCCCCACCUGGAUACUCAGCAGGCCAAAUCCAUGGAAAACUCCUCUACCUCUGCCUUCUAGGACCAAGCAGGCCAUCCAAACAGGAGGAUUUAGAAUUAUAUAAACAUUUGGAAAAGAGAAAUCUAUCUUUCAGGAGUGUGGGGUGACUCUUGCUUAGAAUUGUACUGACUACAGAGAAAGGGAAGUAAGGUCUUUGGUCCAGAUCUCCUGAUGCCUUUAUACUUCGCUGUCAUUGUUAUCUAUAGAAAUAAAGAACUGGAAGUCAACAUUAAUUUGGGCUGUUUCAUUGGUAUCAUAAACAGUAUACUGUAACAUGCAUUACUUUUACUAGUGUAAUUUGCUGGGGAUUGGUCUGGCCUUCUUAAAAUAACCAUACCAGUAUGUGUACUAGCAUAGUUUUUAGGAAAACAAUACCAGUAACAUCAGUCAUAAAAUAAUCAUGGGCUGGCCCAUGUUCCAAUUGAAUUUAGCUAUAUCAUUGGUGAUUGACCUGAUCCUAUCUGGUUCUAAAAAUUUCUUGGUUUCAGCAUUUAGGAACAAACUUUAUUCAUAGAGUUUUUGAAUCCCCAAAGAUUUCAAAUCCAAAAUGGUUUAUACUAUUUUUAAAAUAAUUUUUCCCCUGAAAUUGUGCGUAUGUGGCUUCUUUUCACUGUGUUGUAUGUAUCAGUCAUUUGUUCCUUCUUAUUCAUGAGUAGAAUUCUAUUUCAUGAAUUACCACGAUUUAUCCUGUCAGUGGUUGCUGAACAUGUAAGUUGUUUACAGUUUUAGCUACAGUGAACAUAACAGCUAUAAAUACUUAAGUAUAUGUGUUGGUGUGGCCAUACAUUUUCAUUAAUGUUAGGUAAAAAUCUAGGAGAAUUGCUGGGUCAUAUGAGAAGUGUAUAUAUAUAUAUAUUUUUGGUACCGGAGAUUGAACUCGGGACCUUGCUCUUUCAAGGCAGGUGGCGGAACCACUGAGCUAAAUCUCCAGCCCCAAGUGUAUAUCUUUUAAAGAAACUGCAAAGUAGUUUUGAAAACUGGCUAUACCUGUUUUUCUUUCUACCAGCAGUAUGUGAGAGUUCUACUUGCUGUUUGAAAUGGUUUCUGAUAGAUGCAUAAGGAGGAAGGGAUAAGUUGGUUUUUAUAGGAAAAAAUGUGCUCAGCUCAGGCUGAGUUACUGUUGCUGUUAGUGGUAGUCAUGGCUGGUGCUUAGAAUACUUUCAAAUGGUCUCUGAAUGAAGCAGCCCAGUCUCUCAGACUUUUAUGUCCACUGCAGUACUGAGAGGAUUGCCACAGAGAGCUGCUUGAGGAUAUAGGCCAGGUUUUAGUCAACUUUUUUGUCUCAACUUCCAGCAAUGUCUGGUACACAGUGGGUCUCAACAUGCAGUGUUUGAAUUGAAUAGCAAAUAUCUCUAGUGGCCAUGGUGGUGUUAGGGAAGGGAAAUUUACCAUGGGUGUUGUCUGUUCCUUUACUUCUCAUCUUACUCGGUGCAGAAGGUAUCGAGGUCAUGAAUUUCAUCUAAUAAUGCAGUGAAUGUGGGAGAAAAGAAUAGCAAUGAAUUUAAGAACAUAAAAGUCAAGCAUAUUAUGGUUACAAAAUUAAGAGGUAUGAGGGAUUUGUUUGUUAUACAAUAUCUUAAAUGCCUCAUCCCUGUGUGUCUCACCCCAUAUGUAGACCUGGAUAUAUUGGGUGAGGUGAGGGGAAGCAGAGCACUGAGGUUUUUUAGAUGCUCCCUUGUUUCUGCUGUGGCUGAAAUACAGUAAGCCCUGCAGAUGCCUGCUUAGGGAUAAGUCCUGCUCCACAGUGCUCCUUCCUGCAUUAUCAAUGAUCUUGUUUCUAAGUCAUUCCAUAUACUUUCUCUUUGUGUAUUGUGAUUUAGACAGCAGAAGUAAAAGAUCUAAUUGAAGUGUGUGUGUGUGUGUGUGUGUGUGUGUGUAUGUGUGUGUGUGAUCCUUAAGGUCAUUAAACCACUGGACUCUCCUAUAGAUGUGUCCAUUUAGCAGGGAAAACCAUGUUCUUUCUCCUUUCUUGCUUCCUGCCCCCCCCCCCCCAACUCUUAUCCCGGAGAGUAAAUUCAGAGCCUCUUGAGUUUGAACCUCCUUAGGUUAACUGGCACUAAUGCAAGUAUUCACGACUAUGUGGGGAACAUUGCUGAGUGCAAAGGGAAUCUGCCUGUGCCUGGUAAUGGUUACUUCUCUUCAGGUAGGUCGUGUGUUGUUCUGUGAAAUGCAUUCCCAGGUGCCACUGCUUGUACCAGAUGCAGUCACAUUCAGCUGCCAACUCAGAAGGGCUCAGGUAUAGACAUUUGCUUACAGUCAUUUAAAAAGGAAGUAAAUCUUACAGGACUUGCUGUACAUAAAUGACCACAACAUGCAGUUAUAGAAACAAAGAACUUUCCAUCAAGUGGAAGCUGUCCCAGAAAGAUGUGGGUGCCUUCAGGGCAGGGGAUGCCUUCACUAAGAGAGCCCAGGUGAUUGUGGAGGAUGGAAGGGAGCACCUUAAGGGGUUACUGGGUCUUGGGUGUGAUGGGGCUUGGCUUCCAGAGGCCAAGGUUCUAAAUUGCUCUCUGCUCUGUGAUUGCAGGUGAUUUACUUAAAAUUCUUAGUCAUAAGUUUCUCAAAUGGCACUCUUCAAACUUAAAUGAAACAUCUUACAAUUUGUUUUCUAUUUAUUCAAACUAACACCGCUAGUCAGUUACUCUGGAUUGUCCUGGAUGGGUCCUGGUGGGCCUGAAUAGGCCCUGGAUGGGCCAUGAAUGGAAGGAGGAGGAAGAGGAGAACUGAAGAAAAGACAUUGUGAGAAAGACUCAGCCUAACAUGGAAGAUGUUAAGAUGGAGUGGGGCUGGGAUCCAGUUGAAGACUUUUAGCCCUGGAAGAAGCAGGAAUGGAUCUUCCCUUCCAAUCUCUGCAAGGAGCGGAGUCAGUGUGGAAGAUGCAGAGGGUCUGUGCACUGGAGAUCCAGAGGAUCCGGUUCGUAUCAGGAGACUAGAGUCUGCAUGGAGGCUGAAGAGUCUGUGCUGGAAGCCAGGAGACAACGUCCAAGUGAAGGUGAAGACUGCAGCUCCUCCAAAGAAACAGAGGCAAUCCUUUCUUCUUCAUUUCUCUUUAUACAUUCUGGUGACAGUCCUCCCUGGGAUGAGAUUUCUACACCCAGAAUCACAGCGAGCCAGUUUAAUUGGGUGUUACUUACUCAAGUUGACAUGGUUAACUAUCACACAGGAUGUGUUCAUUUUCCUACAAAUGACUCAAGUUUAUCUUUCUUUAUGGCAAAGUAGUACUGAAUUUUGUGUAAAUACCACAUUUUCUUUAUCUGGUCAUCUGCUGAUGGACAUAUAUAUUGUUUCCAAGAUUUAGUUAUUGUGAC